UGGGGGGGGGGGGGGGGUGCUGUCUUCACGAGGCCUCCAGGAGUGCCUCCCUGGGGCUCAUAGUGAGUUAAGCCAGCCAGGCCUGCGAGUGUGCCAGCUCGUCCUGCCCACCUGGCGUCAGCACCAUUGCCCCGGGCUGGGCCGGGCCGUCUCCCUUGGGGAGAGAGCUUGAAGCUUUUGCAGUUUGUAGUGGUCUGUUGUAUUUAGAAACCCGAGCAUCCCAGGGUCAUAAAUUACCUUGAACUAGUUUGCUAACCCUUGUGACUCGGUACAGCGCCUUCUCAGAAGCGGCCAGUUAUGUCACGGACUGAGUGAGGCGUGGCCCAGUCCCCGCAGCGAGGCAGCGUGUGCCAGGCCUGGCGUGGAUGGUAGCCACCCAGGACCACGGGGACGAUGCAGGGAGGUGCCGCAGGUCUGUGCACGGCAUUUCUGUGGAAAUGCACUCCAGAAGGGAGAAGGGUCUGUGAGUCCAUGAAGUGGGAUUCUCACUCCCGGCACGUGGUCGUGAGAGCUGUACCACAUGGAAGAGGCAGAGGGCACCGUGUAGUUCAGCACCUCCUGUUACGUCCCUGCUGGAGGAUCAGCUCCUGCUGGCACCUUCCCAGGGAUGGGGGCUCAUCGCUGCCUGAGACAUUGCACACUGACAGGAAGUUAGCUCCCGCAAAUUCCAGCUCCAUCAUCUGGGUACAUGUUCUGAAUCGGUGCUUGCAACAGCCUGGACAGAGUGGGAGGCCGUUGCAAGGCUGCUGGCCAGCUAGGACGGCUCUCCCAGCCUUUCCUCCAUUGCCACAGCCCUCUGGCCACAACAGGUGCUAAAGGGCCCAUCUGGUUAGACAUUCCGAGUGUUACCCCUGCACUGCAAGUUCAUUGGCCACGGCAAUGUUGACAUCAAGAGAAACACGUGUCAUUUUCUCAUCUCUAGAAAGAGCUCCAACCCCCUCCCCGUUUUUGUAAUCAGAAAGCAGAGGGGUGACCCACACUUUCUGGGGUCAUGGGGAGGAGAUUCAGGUGUGAAGGGAGCAUCUGCUUGUAAUGUGGGAUCCAGUUCCAGGAUCCCCUGGCGUUCCUUGAAAUUUGCUGGAGAAACAGAACCCAUUUGAUGUGCAAAACCAGGCUUCCAACAGAAUGGGACAGCUGAAACAGCCCAAAAAUGGACAAACCGCAUGAAACAGGUUUUGAAGGCUGCAGCCUUUCAGGCAGUCUGAGCCUCCCGGAGCAGCAGGGAACGGGUUUUGCCGGGAGACGCCCGUUUGCGAUGGCGCGCACUUCUUUUCCCCCGGGCGAGACAGGUGCAAACUCAGAUGUAUUCAUUUUCCACAAACGAAACGACUCGGUUUUGACCAUGUUGCAGACCUAGGACUUGGCUCCCUUGUUCCCGGGGGGUGUGUGUCUGGUUUUCACUCCAUUCCGAAGGAGCCUGUGCAGGCUCCCAACUUUGAACCUUCUAAUGAUAAUGAUUUACUGGUUUCAGGGGGUUCGGGGUGGGGGUGGCGGGGGGAGGUGGGACAAGAAGAGUGAUGCAGAGUUUGGAGUCUGAAGGAAUGAUUAGCUGCGUGGAGGGCCCGGGGCCAGUGCUGAUGCUGUAGUUAAGGCACAAGGACUUUCCGCAGCACCAAAGCAUCACCUUUUGCUUCUCAUCAACCCCUUGAAACGAACUCAGUCAAUUUCACUGAUAGGAAUCAGUACCACGUAAUGAGUGUCCGCCAUGGGUCGGGGCCUCACCGCACCUGUACAACCAACCCCACCCGUUCAAGAGGGUUAUGGUGCGCCCCAGUGUUUGAGCUCUGGGAGACUGGGGUAGAGAAAUGCUGAACAGCUUCCCUAGACAACACGGCUUUCAAAUGCAGAUCUGAGACUUCCCACCCAAAGCCUUUCCAGGUCCUGUCCUUGGCGCCUGUGGAAGGUACAGAUUUCCAGGCCCUGUCCUUGACGUGUCUGACUCGGUAGGGUCGGGGGGCAGGGCCCGAGACUCUGAAUUUUGCCCCCUUCCCGCGUGAUUCCAGCAGGCAGCCUGGACACCCAGCCUCUGUCCAAGCAGGCCAGCGUCCAGUAUUCGGCUGUGCCCAGCUCACCAGUGUGAGCUCAGAAACACCGAACCAAGCAGUUCCCGUAGAUCCCCCCACCCCCCACCACCCCACCCCUGGCAGAAGAAUCCUAAAACCCUGACUGGCAUUUUCCAAAGGUCCCAGCAAGCUUCUCGGGACCCUGAGCAGCCAGCCAGUGAAACCUGAGGACUGCUUGUUUGGGGAGUGUGGGGGCUGCUUCUGGAGAAGGUGGGCUUGGUUACAAGUGUUGUCUUCAUUGGAACGAGGACGUGGAAGGGAAAGCAAUGAGUCCAAAUUAAUCCGUUUUCCUGUGAACGUCUCCCACCACCCCGUGCCAAGGCGAGGCAGCCUUUGUAAUUAACUGACUGGGCCUUUUCUCCCCCCAAACCCAAAAUGGGAGCGUGCGAUUUAUUUUGUGUGCGAGGUGGUAUGAAAAUUGCCAAAGUUGGCAGAUGAGGCUGGGAUGUUGGUGGAGCUGGGUCAACAGGGCUGAGCUGUCUGUCACCUCCAGGUCGGAAUGGGGAGCUGGCUCCAAAGCAGGGACAGGGGCCGGGGCCACGGAGGUGCUGUGCGUGCCGAGGGCUGAGCAGGUGGCCUUGGGAGGAGAGCAGAAACUUCUUAGCACUGUGGAUGGGAGUAGAGGCACUACAGUUCUGAAAUCAAACCCUUCUCCUCGUCCUACCCUGUGUCACCACGGACCAGACACUGAACUCUCCAAGCGUCAGAGUCCACGUGGGUUCAGCGGUCUUUACUGAGUGCCUGCCGUAUGUCGUGGACCCGAGUUCAUCUGCCUGAUGCGCAUAAAGACCAUCACUGAGACACGGGGUAUAAAGCAAAGCAAGAGUUUAUUCCAGAGGCAGGAGGGCGAGCCUCACAUCCACCUCCCUAGAGGAGGAGAGUCAGGGGUACUUAGUGGCGAAGGAAAAAGGUCAGGGUACAGAGUUGCGGCUGCUAGCCCUUUGGUUACCCUUUUCAGUCCCCAGGGUCUUUUGAUCCGUCCGCAUUCUUGUGGGUAUUGGGACCACCACCCGGCCGCGGCCGUUACUUCCUGCUGAGGUGGGGUGGAGACUGGGGUUAGACAAGGGGAAACUUUGGGGUGGAAAGGAAUGGCCUGCAUUACCGGGAUUUUUGUACUUUGGUCAAUAGUUCCUGUACCAUGUUGUGUCUAGGGCUUUAGGGGUACUAGAGAACAACAGGCAGCAUGUUGUCCUCAUGGCUUGAUUCCCUUGUACCAGUUCCCCCACGUCGGAGGUUCAGGUCCAGCAGAGGCUCACUGGUCUGAGCCGGGUCCCUUUCGACCUCCUCCCUGCUGACAGGUGUAGGGAACCUGUGGAUUCUUGUCAUUCAAGUGUGAAUCCACGGCUCAAUUCCCUGUAGUCUCGGGGGAGUGGGGGGUCAACGGCACCUCGCAGGGUCUGACCUGGACAGUGAGGCUGGAGCUGGUCCUCUGGGCUCCCGCUCUUCAGGUCUUUAGUGACAUCUUGAGUGACACCUUUGGAUGUCACCAAGGGAUUCAGGCAGCGUGAAGACACAUCUGUGAGGUACAUCAGCCUGCCGGAAGCAAACUCAGGCCCUGGAUGUACCUGAUAGUAUCCAAAUCGCUGGUGGGAGCCCCGCCAGCACCUCCUAGGUCACGAAAAGAACAUAGAAAGUCUUGCAUAUGACAUUCCACAGGGGCUUAAACCAAGCCCUCUUCUAGGGACCACUCUUUCCCAAAGCAGGGCAGAUGGCACGGGUUGUUCCCAAGUGAAGUGGGUUUCUUGGCAGAGCUUUGCCAAAGUUCAUUUUUUCCCCCUUUUUCCACUCUCUCGGUGUCUCCAGGAAGCGUGUGAUUUCCACUGAAUGCCCAAGGCCUUGGACUCUGUGGUUGUCACUCCACUGUCCCUCUGAAUUAUUAGCGGCAGUCCAAACCUAGAAAUGAUCUCGCUUCAAAGCAUUUUGACAACUCCCGAGGCCUUCUCUGAACACCAGGGAGGAACCUCAACCCCGUUGAUAAAGGUGUCUGCAGAUACAAGCAAACCCCGAGAAUUUCCCAUUGUUCUUUGCAUUCUGGGAAAGGCUGCGUGCCGGUCUUCCCCAGGUUUGGGGCGUCUCAGUUGUAUACCCUUGAGAACUUGUGGGCACCCAGUCUUAGGGUUGUUUUUAGCACAAGCGUUGCCUUUUGUAGCAUUUCGCUGAAACCGGAGCCCGCAGUAUACUUCUGGAUCCACUGAAGAGGGGCAUCUUUCCCAUAACGGGUGCUUCGAGGAAUGUGGCUAAUUAUUUCUUUCAUCAGAUGCUCUAGGGCAUGGCAGAGGGGCUGCUGAACAGUGAAAACAGAUGUGAGCACACACGUGAAGAACCAGGCCCCCAGGCCGAGGACAGCGUCCAGCUCCGUAAACAGCACCAAAAGGCAACGUUUGAAGGAUCCUCGUUCUGCACCGCGCUCUCCUCUGGGUGCUGCGCCUGCUGGUAUUUCUGUAAUCUUCCCACACCCUCCGAGGUAGGGAAGCAUUACAUUCACUUUACAGAUGCACACGUCAAAGCCCACAGAGGUCACCGAGGUGGUCAGUGUCACAAGGCAGUGAGGUUGGCUCUAGGGUCUGUGCAUUUAACUACUGCCCCUUCGAUGUGACACCGGCUCAACUGAAUUGAACCCACCCACCCCAGCAACCAGCUUCAGUGUUUGUCCUGUCGCUACUAGCCCCUGCCUUCUUGCCUCACCCCCAGACCCAGGCAAAGGGGCAGCCCACCGGGAUACGUGUCUGCCUCCAUCGCCUCCUCCAAGCUGUGUGACCAAAGCUGGCUACUCGCCGUCUCUGAGCCUCGGUUUUCUCACCGUGAGUGGGGCUGGCAGUGGGAGACCCUGUUGUGGAGGCUGACCUUGGGCGGCACCCCACCGCUCCGGGUGAACAGUCAGGAGCUUGAUAAGAGGGCGUUCCCUCCCCCAGAGAGCCCUGUGGGGCCCAGCUGCCUGCCACCCAGUGACUGAUGUUCAGGUGCUGCAGCGCGAAGCCAGAGCAAGUUUAUGAUGCUCUAGCUGGUUUUUAAUCACAGCAAGAUGAGAAUUUGGCAGAUUGAGACACCGACUCGUGCGACAAACAUUGUCUGGUGUCUCAUUUGUCUUUCUCUGGCUUCAGUGGUGAUGCAGGGGGUGGGGCUUCCACUCUGGGGAGCACCCCCCUCAAAGUCCCUCAGGCCUCUUCCAUCUGCCCAUGCCUACCGAGCACCAGCUCCAGCCUUGAGGGAGAGGGACGCAGGGACUGGCCUGCAAGGGAUCUCGGAAGCCCCUGCCAGGAGGCUCCCUCCGUCUGAGCGCCACUGCAUGCCUGGCACAGCCCACCUUCUGCUGGGUUGACUGUCUGGCCCGUCCCCCAGGGGUGUCACCGCCUAAGAAGCUCUGUGUCUGCGAUGGCAGAUGCUCAGAGGUGUCCAGAUCUCCUCCACUCAAGCGUCGCCUCCUCAGGGAAGUCCUCCCUGACCACCGUAGACAGACUGUUCCCUUCAUGGCUCUCAGGGCUGGGGCAGAGUUUUCCCCACUCUGUCUGUCAGUUGUCUGUCUGACCACUGACAGUGGUCACCAUCACCUGCAUGGCACUUGACCCAUGCUGGGGACCCUGAUAGGACAUUUACGGGCGUAAACAGUCCCGACAGCCUCACUUUUCGGACGGGACACAGAGAAAUUCAGGAGUUGCCCCAGGCCACACAGCUCAGAAAGAGCCAGACCAGCUGGUAACGUGUGGGCAUUCCUGGUCUGUGCCGCACUCCUCGGGGGGCGAGGACCCUGGCGGGCACUCCAUCGGCAUUUGUGAACUGUUGCCCUGGCAAAUGCUGGUCCACGUGCUGGGGGCCUGGGAGGAAGCUGUCAACUCUGUGCAUCAUGGACACAAGAAAGAGACGGGGGGGGGGGGACAGCAGAAGAGGGAUGGCAUGUCAGCUUUGCCACAGAGGCUGAGUAAGAGUCCAUCUGGCAGAUGGGCGGAAGGAAGGGCAGCCCAGGCAGGGGGAACAACAUUUGCAAAGCACGGCAAGUGCAGGAAGCCUCGAUGAGAGUGGAGGGCCACCCAUGUGCAAAGCAUAAAGGUUGGGGAACAUGGCAAAAACAAAAUCACUCAGUGUACUAGACAGCUCAGGCUGAUAUGACAAACCACCACAAGCUGGGGGUGUAAGCAACACACAUUUAUUUCUCACAGUUCUGGAGGCUAGGGAGUCCAAGGUGAGGGGGGUCGGUGAGUUCAGUUUCCGGAGAGUUCUCUUUCUGGCUGGCACGUAGCCGCUUCUUGCUGUGCCCUCACGUGCCUGAGAGAGGAGCGGGGUCGUCGGUCUCGCUUUCUCUUCUCGUAAGGACUCUAAUCCCAUGGGGGCUCCACCCACAUGGCUUCAUCUAAGCCUGUUUACCUCCAAAUCCCAUCAUAUUGGGGUUAGGGUUUCAACAUAUGAAUUGUGGGGGACACAAACAUCCAGUCCAUAACACGCGGCUGUAUUAAGCAGAAAGAGUUGUAAUACAGGGGGUCAGGAGCCUGCCGACAUCACCAGAAAGUCUGGAGGUCCAGGCCCUCAGGAACCAGCCCAGAGCAGCACUGCAGAACUGGCCCGGAUCAGCCUCUGCCACAGUCACGAAGGUGGGGGUCAAGAGGCUGGCGCUGGGCCCCCAGAUGCUGCUGGAGGAAAAGCCAGACCCUCCUCCCAGACACAGGAGAUGAGGCAUAAGAGCAGGGAAGGGCCUGGGCUGGGGAAGCGGGGCGGGCAGCGGGGCACAUUGACCCAUGACUAUGCGAGGGCCCUGAAAAGCCCAGGGAAGGACAUCCCAAGCCCUCGCUGCAGGGAAUGAGCUCUCCAGCCUCUGCAAGGCAGGCAGGAAGUUGGUGUGGAUGUCCCUCUCCAGCACACCUCCCUGGGUGGUGGGGGCCCCAGAUUGCUUUUUCCUUACGUGCUUCCUGGGCUCUCCGGUCCCCUCUGACACUUCUCUGCUUAGGGAUGACAGCUGAGCGGGUAAUUCCCCCCAGCCAUCCUCAUUGUUCACUGCAGGGCCGGCUGGCUGUUCCCUGGGUAAGCUCUUUAAGACGAUUCAUUUGCAUCUCCCUUUCACCGGUGCCCUGCCCCACCCAGUGUAACUCUCCAAACCCACUGCUGUAGAAGCAGAGCAUAAAUCUGUCAGGCUUCUGCAGCGUGUCCCAGACGCUCGGCAGUCCAGGAAGUGCCUAUGGCUGGGCUAUCAGGCAGCUUUCCGGGUUCAAGAGACAGGAAGAGCUUUGGCCAAAAUCAUCCCAAGAGGAUUAGAGGUGGGGUGAGGGUCAGGGCGGCCUAGUGCAAGCGGGAGCCAGGCCAGCACGACGGGGGUUCAGGAGAGGAACUGGCAAACAGGCGUGUUGCCUCUGUUGGAAUAACUCAGCCACAGGUGUAGGCGUUUUCCAGGUGACAAAAUAUUGCAAACCUCGGGAAAAUAAAAAGAGCCUAGGGGCACCUCUGUGGCUCAGUCA